CAUAUAAGUGGUUUUAUGAAUCUUUCUAAGCUGAUGUCUUUCGCCUAUUAAAAAUUAUGCUGCUCAAUUAGCAUUAGAGGCCUUAUGUUUGGUAAUUACAAGUGUAUGAGCUACAUGAGUCUCUAUACAUGUGUGUGCUUUGUUCCACUUUCUUGAUUCUUGAUUCAAAUUCUCUAUGUAUAAUUGUAUCAAAUAUUUAAAGUAAAGGAGUCAAAGAAUAUUGUGAAGUUCCCAAAAAGAAUCCUAAAUACCUUUAUAUAUAUUUUAAAAGGAUGGGGCUGUUUUGAACAUGAUUUUGCUUGCCUGUCUGCCUUUCCGCCUGACUCCUUCACUCUCGUGUUAUGGAAGUCUGUUGGAAACUUUCAAUAAGCUGAGUAAUGUUGUACCUUGCAAAAAAGCCUUCCACUCUGAGAAACAGGGCCUUAGAGAGUGGGAAUGUUUUCAUACUGGGACUACUAAGACUUUGCAGAUGUGUGCAUCUGACGUGUCCUUACAUGUACUGAAUGUAAUGUGUUGAAUGUUUAUGUGUAGUCGAUAAAGUAUCUAUAUGUAUGUGCAUAAGACUGCCACAAGAUGUAUUCUCAGGAAUACCACUACCUGGAGUUUGAAGACUAAUUAUUUAAAAAAAAAAAAAAAAACAGUCGGGGAAGAUUGGAAAAAAGUUCAAGAUAAUUAACAAUUUUUGUAAUGUUCAAAAUAUUAUUGAAUAUAUGACUAAAAAGCUAAUUAUUACAUAUGAUAAAUACAGUAUUGGUAUUAUUAGAUAAUUUCUUAAGCUAGGAUGCUUAAUGAUAUUUAUCUUUUUCAGAGGAAAAUUAAAACAGGCAUCUAUUCCCAUGUAUUAAAAAUUGGAUUCAUCCAAGAAGUUGCUUCUUCAGAAAUUAACUUCUGAGAGACCUUGGAUUAAACAAGUAUCAUCCAUGAUAAUGGGUGUACAUUUAUAUUACUCGGAUUCAAUUAAAGCAGUUCAGAUUCUGGAGACAGCAUUUCUAUAGCAAAACAUUUUACUUUCAUUUUUCAGAAUUUGCUGCUUUCUAUAAUUCUAUUAGAUAAGUUAUUUGAUUUCUUCCAAAAAGGAAACUGUUACUAAAUGCACUGGGACAAGGCACUGAGAACUACAAUGUCAAAAGGCAUAAAUGGACGUGAUAAUGUUGGGGAAAAAAAUCUGUGGUGUUGGGGUCUGGUUAGGGUCCGUUGCACAGGCUGGAAGUAGCUGCUUUGCCAUUUCAAGCCUCCAGGAGUACCUUAGGCAGGGUGACAUCUCCUCUCUUCUUCAUUACAUCCCCUCUAAUCAGUGAAGAACAUUCUCCACUCUGCUGUCCAGCUCCAAGAGCAUCCGAGAUGAGAAUAGGGGGUACAUAGGGAUCUAUAGGUAAGAAAGGAUCACGAAUAGAAUUGCAGUCCAAAACACAAUUAAAUACCCUUCCUCAAGUUACACAGGAUACUUCAGUAGUCUCUGGGAUUUGCCGCUGUCACACCGUGUCAUGCUGUUGCCUGUGACCCCACACUUCCAACUCCAGGGCCUUGUCUUUAGCAGUGAGUAGAAAGCCUCACUUCCUCAUUGACUUUAGUGGGUCUCAACUGCAGCAUUUCAGAAACAAAGUUUGGUUUGACACUCAGGAGAAUAAAAACAAGUUAAGGGCAGAAUGUAUUUGGAAAAGCUUAAGACAAAUUUACUUAUAUUAUUUUAGGAUCAUUUAGGAUUACAGAUCAAUGUACCUCCAUAAUAUUUUUCAAUAGUCACUGUGACUGCAGGAUGAAAAUCCUUAUUAGCCAUUUUAUAGGUAAAACAAAAGAUUGAUUUCACAGCCAACUUCUCUCAGAUGACUAUGAAGUCUGUUCUGAAUAACGAAUGACCAAAGAGCAUGGAAAAAAUGCAUAUGAAUAAAUGCUGAAAUGUUUAUGAAAGAUAUUUAUGAAACAUAUUAAGACUUCUGUGUUUGAAUAUGCACAUAUAAUAA
ensembl:lncRNA